rnacentral:rRNA from 1 species
UUAAGCGACUAAGCGUACACGGUGGAUGCCCUGGCAGUCAGAGGCGAUGAAGGGCGUGCUAAUCUGCGAUAAGCGCCGGUAAGGUGAUAUGAACCGUUAUAACCGGCGAUACCCGAAUGGGGAAACCCAGUGUGACUCGUCACACUAUCAUUAACUGAAUCCAUAGGUUAAUGAGGCGAACCGGGGGAACUGAAACAUCUAAGUACCCCGAGGAAAAGAAAUCAACCGAGAUUCCCCCAGUAGCGGCGAGCGAACGGGGAGCAGCCCAGAGUCUGAAUCAGCUUGUGUGUUAGUGGAAGCGUCUGGAAAGUCGCACGGUACAGGGUGACAGUCCCGUACACGAAAAUGCACAGGUUGUGAACUCGAAGAGUAGGGCGGGACACGUGGUAUCCUGUCUGAAUAUGGGGGGACCAUCCUCCAAGGCUAAAUACUCCUGACUGACCGAUAGUGAACCAGUACCGUGAGGGAAAGGCGAAAAGAACCCCGGCGAGGGGAGUGAAAAAGAACCUGAAACCGUGUACGUACAAGCAGUGGGAGCACCUUCGUGGUGUGACUGCGUACCUUUUGUAUAAUGGGUCAGCGACUUAUAUUCUGUAGCAAGGUUAACCGAAUAGGGGAGCCGGAGGGAAACCGAGUCUUAAUUGGGCGUUAAGUUGCAGGGUAUAGACCCGAAACCCGGUGAUCUAGCCAUGGGCAGGUUGAAGGUUGGGUAACACUAACUGGAGGACCGAACCGACUAAUGUUGAAAAAUUAGCGGAUGACUUGUGGCUGGGGGUGAAAGGCCAAUCAAACCGGGAGAUAGCUGGUUCUCCCCGAAAGCUAUUUAGGUAGCGCCUCGUGAAUUCAUCUCCGGGGGUAGAGCACUGUUUCGGCUAGGGGGCCAUCCCGGCUUACCAACCCGAUGCAAACUGCGAAUACCGGAGAAUGUUAUCACGGGAGACACACGGCGGGUGCUAACGUCCGUCGUGAAGAGGGAAACAACCCAGACCGCCAGCUAAGGUCCCAAAGUCAUGGUUAAGUGGGAAACGAUGUGGGAAGGCCCAGACAGCCAGGAUGUUGGCUUAGAAGCAGCCAUCAUUUAAAGAAAGCGUAAUAGCUCACUGGUCGAGUCGGCCUGCGCGGAAGAUGUAACGGGGCUAAACCAUGCACCGAAGCUGCGGCAGCGACACUCAGGUGUUGUUGGGUAGGGGAGCGUUCUGUAAGCCUGCGAAGGUGGCCUGUGAGGGUUGCUGGAGGUAUCAGAAGUGCGAAUGCUGACAUAAGUAACGAUAAAGCGGGUGAAAAGCCCGCUCGCCGGAAGACCAAGGGUUCCUGUCCAACGUUAAUCGGGGCAGGGUGAGUCGACCCCUAAGGCGAGGCCGAAAGGCGUAGUCGAUGGGAAACGGGUUAAUAUUCCCGUACUUGGUGUUACUGCGAAGGGGGGACGGAGAAGGCUAUGUUGGCCGGGCGACGGUUGUCCCGGUUUAAGCGUGUAGGUGUGUGUUCCAGGUAAAUCCGGUUCACUUUAACACUGAGGCGUGACGACGAGGCACUACGGUGCUGAAGCAACAAAUGCCCUGCUUCCAGGAAAAGCCUCUAAGCAUCAGGUAACAUCAAAUCGUACCCCAAACCGACACAGGUGGUCAGGUAGAGAAUACCAAGGCGCUUGAGAGAACUCGGGUGAAGGAACUAGGCAAAAUGGUGCCGUAACUUCGGGAGAAGGCACGCUGACACGUAGGUGAAGUGAUUUACUCAUGGAGCUGAAGUCAGUCGAAGAUACCAGCUGGCUGCAACUGUUUAUUAAAAACACAGCACUGUGCAAACACGAAAGUGGACGUAUACGGUGUGACGCCUGCCCGGUGCCGGAAGGUUAAUUGAUGGGGUCAGCGCAAGCGAAGCUCCUGAUCGAAGCCCCGGUAAACGGCGGCCGUAACUAUAACGGUCCUAAGGUAGCGAAAUUCCUUGUCGGGUAAGUUCCGACC